GAUGAAGAACGUAGCGAAAUGCGAUAAGUAAUGUGAAUUGCAGAAUUCAGUGAAUCAUCGAAUCUUUGAACGCACCUUGCGCCCUUUGGCCAUUCCGAAGGGCAUGCCUGUUUGAGUAUCAUGAACACCUCAACUCUCAUGGCUUGCCAUGAUGAGCUUGGACUUUGGGGGUCUUGCUGGCCUGUGGUCGGCUCCUCUCAAUUGAAUCAGCUUGCCAGUGUUUGGUGGCAUCACAAGUGUGAUAACUAUCUGCGCUCGUGGUUUCCAUCAGAUAACCUCCAGUGAUGGAGGUUCGCUGGAGCUCAUAAAUGUCUCUCCUAAGCGAGGACAGCUCUUUUAAUGUUUGAUCUCAAAUCAGGUAGGACUACCCGCUGAACUUAAGCAUAUCAAUAAGCGGAGGA
rnacentral:misc_RNA from 1 species